rnacentral:rRNA from 1 species
GGGUGAGUACACGUGGGUACCUACCCCAGGUGAGGAAUACCGGCGAGAAAUCGCCGACAAUACCGCAUAGGUUUCCAACCGAAACAAAGCUCGUAAGGGCGCCAUGGGAAGGGCCUGCGGCCGAUUAGCUGGUUGGUGAGGUAACAGCUCACCAAGGCGACGAUCGGUAGCUGGUCUGAGAGGAUGAUCAGCCACACUGGGAUUGAGAACGGCCCAGACUCCUACGGGGGGCAGCAGUGAGGAAUUUUCGUCAAUGGGGGCAACCCUGAACGAGCAACGCCGCGUGCAGGAAGAAGGUUUUCGGAUCGUAAACUGCUUUUCUCUGGGACGAGUACGGACGGUACCAGAGGAAUCAGCCCCGGCUAACUACGUGCCAGCAGCCGCGGUAAUACGUAGGGGGCAAGCGUUGUCCGGAUUUAUUGGGCGUAAAGCGCGCGCAGGCGGUCUGCCAAGUUCGGAGUGACAGUUUCCGGCUUAACCGGAAAAGGUCUUCGAAAACUGGUGGACUUGAGAACUUGAGGGGGAGACGGAAUUCCGGGUGGAGCGGUGAAAUGCGUAGAGAUCCGGAGGAACACCGAAAGCGAAGGCAGUCUCCUGGCAAGUUUCUGACGCUCAGGUGCGAAAGCUAGGGGAGCGAACAGGAUUAGAUACCCUGGUAGUCCUAGCCGUAAACGAUGACCACUAGGCGUGGGAGGUAUCGACCCCUUCUGUGCCGCGGCUUACGCAGUAAGUGGUCCGCCUGGGGAGUACGGUCGCAAGAUUAAAACUCAAAGGAAUUGACGGGGACCCGCACAAGCAGCGGAGCGUGUGGUUUAAUUCGAUGC